rnacentral:rRNA from 1 species
GACGAACGCUGGCGGCGUGCUUAGCACAUGCAAGUCGAACGGAAAGGCCCUGCUUUUGUGGGGUGCUCGAGUGGCGAACGGGUGAGUAACACGUGAGUAACCUGCCCUUGACUUUGGGAUAACUUCAGGAAACUGGGGCUAAUACCGGAUAGGAGCUCCUGCUGCAUGGUGGGGGUUGGAAAGUUUCGGCGGUUGGGGAUGGACUCGCGGCUUAUCAGCUUGUUGGUGGGGUAGUGGCUUACCAAGGCUUUGACGGGUAGCCGGCCUGAGAGGGUGACCGGCCACAUUGGGACUGAGAUACGGCCCAGACUCCUACGGGAGGCAGCAGUGGGGAAUAUUGCACAAUGGGCGGAAGCCUGAUGCAGAAACGCCGCGUGCGGGAUGAAGGCCUUCGGGGUGUAAACCGCUUUCGCCUGUGACGAAGCGUGAGUGACGGUAAUGGGUAAAGAAGCACCGGCUAACUACGUG